UACGCAGGGGGCUAGCGUUGCUCGGAAUCACUGGGCGUAAAGGGUGCGUAGGCGGGUCUUUAAGUCAGGGGUGAAAUCCUGGAGCUCAACUCCAGAACUGCCUUUGAUACUGAGGAUCUUGAGUUCGGGAGGGGUGAGUGGAACUGCGAGUGUAGAGGUGAAAUUCGUAGAUAUUCGCAAGAACACCAGUGGCGAAGGCGGCUCACUGGCCCGGUACUGACGCUGAGGCACGAAAGCGUGGGGAGCAAACAGG
rnacentral:rRNA from 1 species